UACGUAGGUGGCGAGCGUUGUCCGGAUUUACUGGGCGUAAAGGGAGCGUAGGCGGACUUUUAAGUGAGAUGUGAAAUACCCGGGCUCAACUCGGGUGCUGCAUUUCAAACUGGAAGUCUAGAGUGCAGGAGAGGAGAAUGGAAUUCCUAGUGUAGCGGUGAAAUGCGUAGAGAUUAGGAAGAACACCAGUGGCGAAGGCGAUUCUCUGGACUGUAACUGACGCUGAGGCUCGAAAGCGUGGGGAGCGAAACAGGAUUAGAUACCCGGGUA
rnacentral:rRNA from 1 species